CGCAAACUCGCCUCCUUCGGUUUCUCCCUCUCAGACCGCAACUUCUUUCCAAGAAAAAGGAAGACUUUCACCUGUCCAGGAGCCUUGAUCUCUCGUGCUUCUGAUUUUACAUUGGCCUCUCGACGCCGCUAGAGUCCAAUCCAUAGGUUGCUCCGGCCCUGGCUGUUCCGCAUUCAUGAAAAGUUUGGUUAUUUUGUUUUUGGUUGCUUGUGUAGUUUUUGUGAGUUCUUAUUAUGUAGGAUAUCUGAUUCUUGGUUCCCGUCGCUAUUGCAAUAUGUGCAUUUCUAGUUUCUAUGGAGACGGUAAGGAAUUUGUUUGGGAGAUGGAGUGUUGGAGAAGCGACCAAGGCAGCCGAGAAUCUGAGCCUGAAUGUUUUCCAGCAUUCACGAGCAAUGGGGAGCACUGAAGAAAAUCCUGUCGAAGGUAUUUCUAGCUUUA